UUAGGCUGAAUCCACACCAGUAGGCAUGCUUUGAAGUGCUGACUGGAUUGAGUCCCUGCAGAGAGACGGAUGGAUAAAUUGUGGAUUAUCAUCAGCCUUCACCACCAACAACACAGAGUUGCUCAGUGCUGUGAAAACUGAGAUGUUGCUCUACAUACCCAGUAGCAGAAGAGAAAAUGUUUUUUAAGAUAAGGUACCAAAGAAUGUAUAAAGGUUUAGUAGCAAUUCAACAGGACUCCCAGGAUUUUGGUGCUAAUUAGAAGUCCCUGAACUCUGCCUAAGGAAUUUUGGAAUUUAGUCAAAGGGCAGACAGCUGUGGAUGACGAUUAUGGAACAGAUGAGCCAAGCCCUGCCAUUUUUGUCAUUCUGCUGGACAUUCACACCAGGCUGUUUUUUGUUGGCUCAACAUAGUGGUCUUCAUCUCUCCUCAGUCAGUGUAUCUAUGCAGACACACAAUAUCUAUCCACCUGCCUUUGACCACACUGUUACAUGUUUUGGCUUCUCAGUGGUUAACCCUACACCAGAAGAUCAUUAACUGCAGGUGUGAGAACCGGAGGCUGAAAACACAGCCUUGAAAGCGCAAACUGCACCUCAAUGCUGCUGGAGUAAUGCCUGCAGGGGCAACGUUUAGCACAUGGGCUGUGGGAAAAGUUGCCAUAUGCAAGAACUUGGAGGAAACUUACCUCUUGCCUUGAUCCCACCAGCCUGCAGAGUCUGACCCUGGGGUCUAGGGCUGUGCUCAUGAUUUUGAAGUCUUCCAGCACAAGAAAGCAACUUUUACUUAAGCACCUCUGGAUCAAGGCUAGGCAACCAGAUGAAAGCAGUUCAGUUACUGAACCUGUUUUCACUUUCAAAACUGAUACAGCUGUGAAACACCUCAAAAUGAAAUAAAGCUCUUCUGUUCUCACACAGUUGGCUAUUAUUUAAACAUGUAUACUUAAUUGGCUAGUGAGUUCUUUUCCACUGUUCAGGAGAUUUUAAAAAAUACUUAUAGCACCUUGGUGUUCAUGUUCACUGUAACUCAACGUCUGACUUUUAGAAACAAACUUUUAUAUUUUGGGUUUUGUUUUGUUGGUGGUGGGUUUUUUGUUUGUUUUGUUUCCCAGGGACUUGUUUAUUGAUUUUACAGUACAGAACUACAUAAAUUCUAUGAUUUUACUCUUGCUUAAUAUAUGGCUGGACCUCAUGCUGCUGAUCACAACUCUGAGGCUGGCAGUUCAGCCAGUUUUCAGCCCACUUUCCUGUUUAUUUCUCUAGCCCAUACUUCAUCAGCUGUCUAUGAGAAUGUAAUGGAAGACAGUGUCAAGGACCUUCUUAAGGCUUGUAUCUGAAUCUAUCCCAAAAGGCCAAUGUGAACUUUACAAAAAGUAAUAGCAAUAUCAUAUCUAAAAGAAAAUAAUUUCAGGAUAGAUAACUCUUAAUUUUCAUACUUCUAGAAUGUAACAUGGAAAAACAUUUUAUCUUUACAUACAAGCUCCACCUUUACCAUUAGGUUGGUAUUAUAAUUCAAACUUACAGACUGUUCCCUCAUUCCUAUCCACUCAUAGCAAAAAGCAGUACAAUAAAAUUUUAUAGGCCCAUCCACUGUACUGUGGUAUGACAGCUGUUACCAGCUGCACAAGUUUUAUGCUCAAUUUAACUACGUUACCAGGCAUUUCCCAAGUCACCUUCAAAUGAACAUUUUUUUCUCCUUCACAGGAAAUUUUAUAACUAGCAACUUCAAGUCCCUCUUCUGAAGAAUUCAAACUGAAAUUACCUAUGAAUUUG